CUACCACUACAACGUCAUCUGGAUGUACAAGCGAGGGUAUACAGGGGACAUCGUACGCAGCACCUAUAGUUACUGGUAUAGUUGCUCUAACACUGGAGGCAAAGUAAGUUCUUUAAGAUUAAACAGAACUAUUAAUAGCUGUUGCCGGGUUUUUUUGUGGUCACUCUGUACCACUGUUUUCUUCCAUCCAGACAAAGUGUCCAAUUAUUCUUCAUCCAUUUUUGGCAUGACUCUAUACAUGUAUACUAAAUAAUGUUCAUCAACAGUCUGCGAUAUAUUAUUUUUAUUGUUCAAAAAUACAUUUAUUUAAGAAUUGAAUGCUUCUUUUUGUAACUUCAUUGGGGUGUAAAAGCGUUGACCGAAGUACAUUUUGUAUAAGGCGAAGGCUCAUCUAAAAUGGCGCACGUCAAGCUACAACCUAUAAGUUAAAAAGAAGCAUUCAAUACUUAUAAUUACAUUUUUUAGUUAGGAUCAUGAAAAAACGAUUUUUAUCAAGGUUUUAUUUAAUACACCUGUGCACUUUAUUGUGCGACCUCGUGUCAUCAUGAAUGAUAAAUUUCAUUGUGUUAUGAAGUUGAUUAAGGAAUAACGCGAGAUUUGCAGUUAGCCAAUUAGAAUAACGUAUUAUAAUGAAACAUACAUCUAAAUAAAUGUAAUUAUUAUUGUUCAAUCAUUGCGUCUGGUUUUGUUACGCCUCAUAACACAGUGACCGUAUAAUCUUAUACAGUUAUGGCCCGUUGAAAAGGUGAAUAUCCAAAAUUGUCAACACGAGAAGGUUAUUUCACUGAGGGCGCAGCGGAAGUUGACAAAUCUAUUGAUGUUUACAAACAUAUAGGUUUUAAGCUUUAGAAAUAAAGUAUAAUAAUUUAUGGCAUGUCACUUUUAAUUAGAACGAAAAUUGGGGCCCGUUCUCUAAUACUUAUCGUACCUUGUCCUUUGCUUCAAUUAACUUUAAAAUGAAAUAGACAGAAAUAGUAAAAAAAUUUCAACUUAAUUUAUUGUCUUUGUUAAUUUCAAUAAUCUUUAAUGUGCAUUGUUGAUAGUUUUAUAAUAUAUUUUCGGUAAUAUAGGUCAUUUCUAAUUUAGAACUUACCAACGGAUAUUGUAACAGUGCAUUUUAUUUACAGUAUUUUUCAAUUGAUUUAUAUAAUUAUUGUGUUACUAUUCAAAUUUACUCCUAAUUUGCAGUCCCGAUUUGACUUGGAGAGACAUCCAGCAUCUUAUUGCAUUCACAUCAACCAGAAAUGGUUUGAAUGACACCUACUCUGAUUGGUCAAUGAACGGGGCAAAUAAAGAAU
rnacentral:lncRNA from 1 species